UACGGGAGGCAGCAGUGGGGAAUAUUGCACAAUGGGCGCAAGCCUGAUGCAGCCAUGCCGCGUGUAUGAAAAAGGCCUUUCGGGUUGUAAAGUACUUUUCAGUCGUGAGGAAGGUGUUAAGGUUAAUAACCUUAGCAAUUGACGUUAGCGACAGAAGAAGCACCGGCUAACUCCGUGCCAGCAGCCGCGGUAAUUACGGAGGGUGCGAGCGUUAAUCGGAAUUACUGGGCGUAAAGGGCACGCAGGCGGUUAAUUAAGUUGGAUGUGAAAUCCCCGGGCUUUAACCUGGGAAUGGCAUUCAAGACUGGUUAGCUAGAGUCUUGUAGAGGGGGUAGAAUUCCAUGUGUAGCGGUGAAAUGCGUAGAGAUGUGGAGGAAUCCGGUGCGAAGGCGGCCCCUGGACAAAGGCUGGACGCUCGAUGUGCGAAAGCGUGGGGAGCAAACGAGGGAUUAGAUACC
rnacentral:rRNA from 1 species